UACGGAGGGGGCAAGCGUUACUCGGAAUUAUUGGGCGUAAAGGGCGCGUAGGCGGUCGUGUGCGUCGAGGGUGAAAUCCCCGGGCUUAACCCGGGAACUGCCUUCGAUACGGCACGGCUUGAGUCCGGGAGAGGGGAGCAGAAUUCCCAGUGUAGCGGUGAAAUGCGUAGAUAUUGGGAGGAAUACCAGUGGCGAAGGCGGCUCCCUGGACCGGUACUGACGCUGAGGCGCGAAAGCGUGGGUAGCAAACAGG
rnacentral:rRNA from 1 species